AUUGAACGCUGGCGGCAUGCCUUACACAUGCAAGUCGAACGGCAGCACGGGGGCAACCCUGGUGGCGAGUGGCGAACGGGUGAGUAACAUAUCGGAACAUACCCUAGAGUGGGGGAUAACGUAGCGAAAGUUACGCUAAUACCGCAUACGAUCUAAGGAUGAAAGUGGGGGAUCUUCGGACCUCAUGCUCAUGGAGUGGCCGAUAUCUGAUUAGCUAGUUGGUGAGGUAAAGGCUCACCAAGGCGACGAUCAGUAGCUGGUUUGAGAGAACGACCAGCCACACUGGAACUGAGACACGGUCCAGACUCCUACGGGAGGCAGCAGUGGGGAAUUUUGGGACAAUAGGGGCAACCCUGAUCCAGCAAUGCCGCGUGAGUGAAGAAGGCC
rnacentral:rRNA from 1 species